UUACGGCCAUAUCACGUUGAAACACCGGUCCUCGUACGAUCACCGAAGUUAAGCAAGGUUGAGUCUGGUCAGUAUUUAAAUGGGUGCAACUUGGGAAUACCAGUUGCU